UUACAUUUUGGUAUGUUUUAGGUUACCUCAAGGGCAUCCAAGAUGUAGGUGUCUUUGUUUCCGCAGUAGUUUCAAUUUUUUAUAUUCAAAUGUUAUAUGUAUAUGUGUGUGUGUGUAUAGUAUGAGUUUUUAAAAGAAGCAAUUUUCGGCUUCAGUUUCGGUUUUCGGCCAAGUGCAUCCUAAAUUUUCGGUUUCUGCCCAGAAUUUUCAUUUCGGUGCAUCACUAGUUUCAACCAUUUGUUGUUGAUGUGCAAUUGAACAGUUUAACAAUUUGUUGACAUGCGCAAGUUGACAAUUUAAGUGCUUUGCUCCCUUGUUUACUUUUAGACCGAAUCCAGUUUAUCACUCAGACGAGGAGCCCCAGAAUGAGUGCAGAUUCACCCAAGCCCCAAAAGUGUUAUUUCCAGCGACCCAACUAGCCAGUCAGAACAGCCAACCAUCACCACCUCCACGAAUCUAUCAGACCCUCCAACGCCCCAAUUCCCCCAUGUUGUCUUACCCCAAUGUCCCAGCAUCGUUCCCUGGAGAUGAAUUGGUGUUCUCUCCAAUGAAUUUACUCCAGAGGCCAUCUCCUGAAGGUAUGCUUUUAAAAAGAAGUAAUUAAAUUCAGUCAAUUCAAACAUUCAAAUUCGAGCCAAAUGCAGUAUAUCCAGUCAAAUGGUUUAAUUUCUCUUUUCACAGUUGUUUCAGAUUCUUCAGAAACUGCCAGGUUGGCAUUAAAAGGUAAGUACAAUUAAAUCCUAGCGGCCCAGGCUUUUCUUUCCUCAAUGAUUUAAAUCAUUGAAGGAUUUACCACUUAUCAACUGUUAGCUUAAACCAAUGGAGGGAGACAUUGCUAAAAUAAACAACUGUUAAAAAGUUUGUUACCAUCAUUCAUUUUUCCAUUUGGAAUCAUUAUAACCAGCCU
rnacentral:lncRNA from 1 species